UGCACUUACAUUCUCUGAUACACGGCUC
rnacentral:piRNA from 1 species